rnacentral:lncRNA from 1 species
UCAUUUUCUCUGCAUAUUGCAUCGUUUCCAUACAUUAUUAAUCAGAGAUUAAUAAUGCAUGGAAGUGGUGCAAUAUGCAGAGAAAUGGUGGAAAUCUAAUAAAAUAAUAAUAAUGCAUGGAAAUGGUGGAAAUCUAACAAAAUAAUAAUAGUAAUCUCUUCUGAAUCCUGCUAUGCUGCCUCAAAGUGGCGGAGGGGUUACGUGGGUGGAAUGGGCAAUGCACAUAAGAAAUUAUAUUUUUAGUAGGGUCACCCAGGUUGUGAAGGCUAUUCUGUUAUGCUCAACUAAAUGCCACCAGGUAUCCCCACUUCGGUGGUGUACAAUUAGUAUGCAAUGAUACAAAGCAGAAAACAUAAGCAUACCGGCUUGGAUGGCACCCGGUUUAACAAGGUCCACGUCUGUGAGAUAGUCAGAGGCUCACAUUCGGAAAGUUUACUAUAGUCUUCCUUGGCCACUGGUGGCGAAAGCAGCACCAAUCUAAGUCAUGCUACUCCAAAUACACAUAUACACAAUAGGGAACGGGUCCCACAUCAGAGCCCAACCACCCAAAGUGUUUCCCCGACAACUCAGCCAAAGAUCGCCAAGGCUGGAAAACCAAAUGUCCAUUUCAUGCGUUGGCGACCUGAACGAAUUCAUCAUGCGUACAUACUAUACAAUUACAAAAAUAGAAGCCGACACUACAGGAUACAGAAGGGAAC